rnacentral:rRNA from 1 species
AUACGGAGGAUGCAAGCGUUAUCCGGAUUUAUUGGGUUUAAAGGGUGCGUAGGCGGUUUGCUAAGCGGGAGGUGAAAUGCCGGCGCCCAACGUCGGAAGUGCCUCCCGAACUGGUGGACUUGAAUGACUCUGCCGUGGGAGGAAUGUGUAGUGUAGCGGUGAAAUGCUUAGAGAUUACACAGAACACCGAUUGCGAAGGCAUCUCACGAAGGGUUGAUUGACGCUGAGGCACGAAAGCGUGGGGAUCAAACAGGAUUAGAUACCCUGGUAGUCCACGCAGUAAACGAUGAUGGCUAACCGCUGGGCUUAUCAGUUCAGUGGCCAAGCGAAAGCGAUAAGCCAUCCACCUGGGGAGUACGACCGCAAGGUUGAAACUCAAAGGAAUUGACGGGG